rnacentral:rRNA from 1 species
AACGAACGCUGGCGGCAUGCCUAACACAUGCAAGUCGAACGAGACCUUCGGGUCUAGUGGCGCACGGGUGCGUAACGCGUGGGAACCUGCCCUUAGGUUCGGAAUAACUCCCCGAAAGGGGUGCUAAUACCGGAUAAUGUCUUCGGACCAAAGAUUUAUCGCGUUUGGAUGGGCCCGCGUUGGAUUAGCUAGUUGGUAGGGUAAAAGCCUACCAAGGCGACGAUCCAUAGCUGGUCUGAGAGGAAGGUCAGCCACACUGGGACUGGGACACGGCCCAGACUCCUACGCGAGGCAGCAGUGGGGAAUAGUGGACAAUGGGCGAAAGCCUGAUCCAGCAAUGCCGCGUGAGUGAUGAAGGCCGUAGAGUUGUAAAGCUCUAUUACCCGGGAUGAUAAUGACAGUACCGGGAGAAUAAGCUCCGGCUAACUCCGUG